rnacentral:snRNA from 1 species
AUCGCUUCUUGGCCUUUUGGCUAAGAUCAAGUGUAGUAUCUGUUCUUAUCAGUUAAAUCCUACAGAUUCCCGUUCAGAGUGGGUCAUCACUAACCAACUCUU